rnacentral:rRNA from 1 species
AUGAACGCUGGCGGCGUGCUUAACCCAUGCAAGUCGCACGGAAAGUCCCAAGCUUGCUUGGGUACUCGAGUGGCGAACGGGUGAGUAACACGUGGGUGAUCUGCCCUGCACUUCGGGAUAAGCCUGGGAAACUGGGUCUAAUACCGGAUAGGACCACAUUUUGGAUGGUGUGGUGGAAAGUUUUUCGGUGUGGGAUGAGCUCGCGGCCUAUCAGCUUGUUGGUGGGGUAAUGGCCUACCAAGGCGUCGACGGGUAGCCGGCCUGAGAGGGUGUACGGCCACAUUGGGACUGAGAUACGGCCCAGACUCCUACGGGAGGCAGCAGUGGGGAAUAUUGCACAAUGGGCGCAAGCCUGAUGCAGCGACGCCGCGUGGGGGAUGACGGCCUUCGGGUUGUAAACUCCUUUCGCUAGGGACGAAGCGCAAGUGACGGUACCUGGAGAAGAAGCACCGGCUAACUACGUG